rnacentral:misc_RNA from 1 species
GGUAAAUACAAUUUGAAAGAUUGAUUGGGCACCACCUAAAGUUGUUUAACCCCUUUGAAUUUCUUUCUAUCAAUUUGCAAAACUAUAAAAUUUUGGGAUUUAGACAAUUUUGAGUGGGCCUUCUGCCCAACUAUUUAGAUCAUAUUCCCAAGCUGCUUAGCCAUGUCAGCAUGCCAAUUUAGUGCCAGCUCGACAUAAAUACACCUCAUGGUGUGAUUCUGAUCCUAUAUACAGUUUUUCGAGAAAAG